AGUGAACGCUGGCGGUAGGCCUAACACAUGCAAGUCGAACGGCAGCACAGUAAGAGCUUGCUCUUACGGGUGGCGAGUGUCGGACUGGUGAGUAAUACAUCGGAAUCUACUUUUUCGUGGGGGAUAACGUAGGGAAACUUACGCUAAUACCGCAUACGACCUACGGGUGAAAGCAGGGGAUCUUCGGACCUUGCGCGAUUGAAUGAGCCGAUGUCGGAUUAGCUAGUUGGCGGGGUAAAGGCCCACCAAGGCGACGAUCCGUAGCUGGUCUGGGAGGAUGAUCAGCCACACUGGAACUGAGAAACGGUCCAGACUCCUACGGGAGGCAGCAGUGGGGAAUAUUGGACAAUGGGCGCAAGCCUGAUCCAGCCAUACCGCGUGGGUGAAGAAGGCCUUCGGGUUGUAAAGCCCUUUUGUUGGGAAAGAAAAGCAGCAGGUUAAUACCCCGCUGUUCUGACGGUACCAAAAGAAUAAGCACCGGCUAACUUCGUG
rnacentral:rRNA from 1 species